GACGUAGGGGGCGAGCGUUGUCCGGAUUUAUUGGGCGUAAAGCGCGCGUAGGCGGCCGCUCAAGUCGGAUGUGAAAAUCCGGGGCUCAACCCCGGACCUGCAUUCGAUACUGGGCGGCUAGAGGCAGGUAGGGGAGAGCGGAAUUCCGGGUGUAGCGGUGGAAUGCGUAGAGAUCCGGAAGAACACCGGUGGCGAAGGCGGCCUGCUGGGCAGUAGCUGACGCUGAGGCGCGACAGCGUGGGGAGCAAACAGG
rnacentral:rRNA from 1 species